rnacentral:rRNA from 1 species
GAUGAACGCUAGCUACAGGCUUAACACAUGCAAGUCGAGGGGAAACGGCAUCGAAAGCUUGCUUUUGAUGGGCGUCGACCGGCGCACGGGUGAGUAACGCGUAUCCAACCUGCCCAUCACUUGGGAAUAACCUUGCGAAAGUAAGACUAAUGCCCAAUGACAUCCCACGAAGGCAUCCGAAUGGGAUUAAAGAUUUAUCGGUGAUGGAUGGGGAUGCGUCUGAUUAGCUUGUUGGCGGGGUGACGGCCCACCAAGGCAACGAUCAGUAGGGGUUCUGAGAGGAAGGUCCCCCACAUUGGAACUGAGGCACGGUCCAAACUCCUACGGGAGGCAGCAGUGAGGAAUAUUGGUCAAUGGGCGAGAGCCUGAACCAGCCAAGUAGCGUGCAGGAUGACGGCCCUAUGGGUUGUAAACUGCUUUUAUAAGGGAAUAAAGUGGGUCACGUGUGACUUUUUGCAUGUACCUUAUGAAUAAGGACCGGCUAAUUCCGUG